rnacentral:rRNA from 1 species
UACGAGGGGUGCAAGCGUUGUUCGGAAUUAUUGGGCGUAAAGGGCGCGUAGGCGGUUUGUUGCGUCGGCUGUGAAAUCCCGAGGCUCAACCUCGGGUCUGCAGUCGAUACGAGCAAACUAGAGUGUUGCAGGGGAGACUGGAAUUCCUGGUGUAGCGGUGAAAUGCGCAGAUAUCAGGAGGAACACCGGUGGCGAAGGCGGGUCUCUGGGCAACAACUGACGCUGAGGAGCGAAAGCGUGGGGAGCGAACAGG